rnacentral:rRNA from 1 species
UACGGGGGGGGCAAGCGUUGUUCGGAAUUACUGGGCGUAAAGGGCUUGUAGGUGGCCAACUAAGUCAGACGUGAAAUCCCUCGGCUUAACCGGGGAACUGCGUCUGAUACUGGAUGGCUUGAGUGUGGGAGAGGGAUGCGGAAUUCCAGGUGUAGCGGUGAAAUGCGUAGAUAUUGGGAGGAACACCAGUGGCGAAGGCGGCUCACUGGACCGGUACUGACGCUGAUGCGCGAAAGCGUGGGGAGCAAACGGG